AAGACUAUAGACCUGCGGAGUACCUGCGGAGGGAUCAUUAUUGAAUUAUGUUUCUAAAUGGGUUGUAGCUGGCUCGUCAGAGCAUGUGCACGCCUGUUUGGACUUCAUUUUCAUCCACCUGUGCACCUAUUGUAGUCUUUGGUUGGGUACCAAGGAAGUGGUCAGCCUAUCAGCACUUGCUGGAUGUGAGGACUUGCAGUGUGAAAGCUUUGCUGUCCUUUACUUGAUCAUGGAGUUGUU
rnacentral:misc_RNA from 1 species